CGUUUGGAGCCGGGCAUGGAAUGCGAGUGCCAAGUGGGCCACUCUUGGUAAGCAGGACUGGCGAUGCGGGAUGAACCGAACGCCGGGUUAAGGCGCCCGACGCGACGCUCAUCAGAGCCCACAAAAGGUGUUGGUUGAUAUAGACAGCAGGACGGUGGCCAUGGAAGUCGGAAACCGCUAAGGAGUGUGUAACAACUCACCUGCCGAAUCAAUCAGCCCUGAAAAUGGAUGGCGCUGGAGCGUCGGGCCUAUACCCGGCCGUCGCGGCGGUACGAGCAUCGAGUUGGUGCGCUAGGCCGCGACGAGUAGGAGGGCCGCGGCGGCGGGCGUAGAAGCCUAGGGCGCGAGCCCGGGUGGAGCAGCCGUCGGUGCAGAUCUUGGUGGUAGUAGCAAAUAUUCAAAUGAGAACUUUGAAGGCCGAAGUGGAGAAGGGUUCCAUGUGAACAGCAGUUGCACAUGGGUCAGUCGACCCUAAGGGAUAGGCGAAGGCCGUUCUGAAGCGGGGUGAUGUUCGCGUCGCCCCGGCGGACCGAAAGGGAAUCGGGUUAAUAUUCCCGAACCUCGACGCGGAGAUUGGCGCUCCGGCGCCUAGUGCGGCAACGCAAACGAACUCGGAAACGCCGACGUGGGUCCCGGGAAGAGUUCUCUUUUCUUGGUAAGGGGCGGCGACCCUGGAAUCGGUUCGCCCGGAGAUAGGGACAUGGGCCCCGUAAAGCAGCACGUCUCUUGUGCUGUCCGGUGAGCUCGCGUCGGCCCUUGAAAAUCCGAGGGAGACGGUGUAAUUUUCGUGCGAGGUCGUACCCAUAUCCGCAGCAGGUCUCCAAGGUGAACAGCCUCUGGCCGAUAGAACAAUGUAGGUAAGGGAAGUCGGCAAACUAGAUCCGUAACUUCGGGAAAAGGAUUGGCUCUAGGGGCUGGGUCGGUCGGGCUGAGGUACGAAGCGGGGCGCGGCGCUGUACCGGACUGGGCGAACGACGGCCUCCCUCGCGGGGGGCUGGCGUGAGCCUGGACCUGUGUCGGCGUCUUCCCGUGGAAUGCCGCAGCUAACGCGGGCCUCGCGGCCCGCUUCGGCCGGCGUCGAACAGCCGACUUAGAACUGGUACGGACCGGGGGAAUCCGACUGUUUAAGUAAAACAAAGCUUUGCGAUGGCCGUCAGCCG
rnacentral:ncRNA from 1 species